rnacentral:rRNA from 1 species
UACGAGGGGUGCAAGCGUUGUUCGGAAUUACUGGGCGUAAAGCGUGAGGAGGCGGCUUGUUAAGUCUGAUGUGAAAGCCCUGGGCUUAACCCAGGAACUGCAUCGGAAACUAGCAGGCUAGAGUUCGGGAGAGGGUUGUGGAAUUCUUGGUGUAGAGGUGAAAUUCGUAGAUAUCAAGAGGAACACCGGUGGCGAAGGCGGCGACCUGGACCGACACUGACGCUAAUACACGAAAGCGUGGGGAGCAAACAGG